rnacentral:rRNA from 1 species
UGGGGAAUAUUGCACAAUGGGCGCAAGCCUGAUGCAGCCAUGCCGCGUGUGUGAAGAAGGCCUUCGGGUUGUAAAGCACUUUCAGCGGGGAGGAAGGCGUUAAGGUUAAUAACCUUGGCGAUUGACGUUACCCGCAGAAGAAGCACCGGCUAACUCCGUGCCAGCAGCCGCGGUAAUACGGAGGGUGCAAGCGUUAAUCGGAAUUACUGGGCGUAAAGCGCACGCAGGCGGUCUGUCAAGUCGGAUGUGAAAUCCCCGGGCUCAACCUGGGAACUGCAUUCGAAACUGGCAGGCUAGAGUCUUGUAGAGGGGGGUAGAAUUCCAGGUGUGGCGGUGAAAUGCGUAUAGAUCUGGAGGAAUACCGGUGGCGAAGGCGGCCCCCUGGACAAAGACUGACGCUCAGGUGCGAAAGCGUGGGGAGCAAACAGG